rnacentral:lncRNA from 1 species
CUGCUGAAGCUCCGCCGACUGCUGAAACUUCUCCUAAGCAGCCUUUGUGAAGGCUCCCUCUUGUAUUUAUAUGCUUAAUGUUCCUUUCGUUUUUAUGAAUGUAAAACUACCUUGCAAGAAGUUGUGGUAGAGAUUGUUGGAAAUAUGCCCUGAAAGUCAAUCUUUGGAAGAAACCUUUCAGGACAAUUGAAUCGAUGUAUGGAUGAUUCUUAUACAUCAAAUGGCAA